CCUACGGGUGGCUGCAGUGAGGAAUAUUGGUCAAUGGGAGCAAUCCUGAACCAGCAAUGCCGCGUGUGGGAUGAAGGGGCUUCGCCUCGUAAACCACUGUCGGAUGGGACGAAAAGAGGUAUAAACCUCUGGGACGGUACCAUCAAAGGAAGGGUCGGCUAACUACGUGCCAGCAGCCGCGGUAAUACGUAGGACCCAAGCGUUGUCCGGAAUCACUGGGUAUAAAGGGUGCGUAGGCGGCCAAGUGCGUCAGAGGUGAAAUAUCCGGGCUUAAC
rnacentral:rRNA from 1 species